GGAAUUGCUUGUUUAACAUGAUCACGCAGUACAACUUGAGCCUUCUCUAAUGCAAUGUUAUAGAGUGUUAUGAAGACCCCAUCAAAAGCAAGAGCUUUCGUGUAGGCAGCGUCUUUUUGCCAACAAGUGGUAUAUUCAAAAGCAGCAUUGAAAUGGCCCGAUGGAAUCUUACCAGAAAGGGAUAGGUCCUGAUUAAAUCGCUCGGACAUCUGGGAGAAAGAGAGAAUAUCAGAAGUAAAUCUCAUGCGUUCGCCUUUAUCGCAAUUGAUAGAUUUGGGAACAUUUUGAACCAAAAUUCCACCAGGAAUUGAAAUGUCUCGCACCUGAUCAUGGUCAACAGA
rnacentral:misc_RNA from 1 species